rnacentral:tRNA from 1 species
GGCGCGGUGGUGAAACUGGCGAAACACGUCAGACUCAAAAUCUGAUACAUAAGAAACAUUGCGGGUUCGAAUCCCGCCCGCGCUA